rnacentral:rRNA from 1 species
CACCUCUAGCAUAACUAGUAUUAGAGGCACUGCCUGCCCAGUGACCAAUCGUUAAACGGCCGCGGUAUCCUGACCGUGCAAAGGUAGCAUAAUCACUUGUUCUCUAAAUAAGGACUUGUAUGAAUGGCCACACGAGGGUUUUACUGUCUCUUACUUUUAAUCAGUGAAAUUGACCUCCCCGUGAAGAGGCGGGGAUAACGAAACAAGACGAGAAGACCCUAUGGAGCUUUAAUUAACCAACCCAAAAACCACAAUCUAAACCACCAAGGGAUAAAAAAGCUUUACAUGGGUUGGCAAUUUCGGUUGGGGUGACCUCGGAGUAUAAAAAACCCUCCGAGUGAUUAAAGCCUAGGCCUACCAGCCAAAGCACACUAUCACUUAUUGAUCCAAAAUAUUGAUCAACGGAACAAGUUACCCUAGGGAUAACAGCGCAAUCCUAUUCUAGAGUUCAUAUCGACAAUAGGGUUUACGACCUCGAUGUUGGAUCAGGACAUCCUAAUGGUGCAGCCGCUAUUAAGGGUUCGUUUGUUCAACGAUUAAAGUCCU